CCUACGGGAGGCAGCAGUGAGGAAUAUUGGUCAAUGGCCGGAAGGCUGAACCAGCCAUGCCGCGUGAAGGUCAGUGCCCUAUGGGCGUUAAACUUCUUUUGUGCGGGACCAAUAAUGGUCACGUGUGGCCAGACGAGAGUAGCGUACGAAUAAGCAUCGGCUAACGCCGUGCCAGCAGCCGCGGUAAUACGGGGGAUGCAAGCGUUAUCCGGAUUUAUUGGGGUUAAAGGGUGCGUAGGCUGUGAGGUGAGUGAGCGGUGAAAUGCCCCCGCUCAACGGGGUGAAGUGCCAUUGAUACUGCCUUGCUGGAAUGCGGAUGCGGUGGGAGGAAUGUGUGGUGUAGCGGUGAAAUGCAUAGAUAUCACACAGAACACCGAUUGCGAAGGCAUCUCACGAAUCCGCGAUUGAUGCUGAUGCACGAAAGCGUGGGUAUCAAACAGGAUUAGAUACCCUUGUAGUC
rnacentral:rRNA from 1 species